UGGGGAAUAUUGGACAAUGGGCGCAAGCCUGAUCCAGCAAUGCCGCGUGAGUGAUGAAGGCCUUCGGGUUGUAAAGCUCUUUCGCCUGCGAGGAUGAUGACGGUAGCAGGAGAAGAAGCCCCGGCUAACUUCGUGCCAGCAGCCGCGGUAAUACGAAGGGGGCGAGCGUUGUUCGGAUUUACUGGGCGUAAAGGGCGCGUAGGCGGCGAUGUAAGUCAGGCGUGAAAGCCCCGGGCUCAACCUGGGAGGUGCGCUUGGGACUACAUUGCUGGAGUUCGGGAGAGGAGCGUGGAAUUCCCAGUGUAGAGGUGAAAUUCGUAGAUAUUGGGAAGAACACCGGUGGCGAAGGCGGCGCUCUGGACCGAUACUGACGCUGAGGCGCGAAAGCGUGGGGAGCAAACAGGAUUAGAUACCCUGGUAGUCCACGCUGUAAACGAUGUGUGCUUGACGUUGGGGAGCCUAGCUCUUCGGUGUCGCCGCUAACGCUGUAAGC
rnacentral:rRNA from 1 species